AUUGAACGCUGGCGGCAGGCCUAACACAUGCCAGUCGAGCGGAUGAAGGGAGCUUGCUCCUGGAUUCAGCGGCGGACGGGUGAGUAAUGCCUAGGAAUCUGCCUGGUAGUGGGGGAUAACGUCCGGAAACGGGCGCUAAUACCGCAUACGUCCUGAGGGAGAAAGUGGGGGAUCUUCGGACCUCACGCUAUCAGAUGAGCCUAGGUCGGAUUAGCUAGUUGGUGGGGUAAAGGCCUACCAAGGCGACGAUCCGUAACUGGUCUGAGAGGAUGAUCAGUCACACUGAAAUUGAACCACGGUCCGGCCUCCUCCGGAAGCCAGCGUUGGGAAUUAUUGGACAUUGGCCGAAGGCUUGAUCCAGCCUGGCCGCUUGUUUGAAGAAGUUCUCCGGAUUUUAAACCCCUUUAAGUUGGAGGAAGGGCAGUAAGUUAAUACCUUGCUGUUUUGACGUUACCAACAGAAUAAGCACCGGCUAACUUCGUG
rnacentral:rRNA from 1 species